CAUAUAAAUAUACAUAUAUAUAAUAUCUUAAAGUCAUAACAUGUGUAGAUCCAUAUAUGUAUUUACAUGUACAUACAGAAAAUGCAUGUAUAUGCAUAGAUCGGCAUAUAGUUAACAACCAAUGAAUCGCAAAGUUAUCAGGAAACAGCCUGCAUGUAUCAAAUCCCAGGCGACUGAUCUUUCAUUAAUUUUGUGACAUGUAUUGCUUAUGUAGGUGGCUGUAUCUGUGCACAUACAUAAUAAGAACUAUUACCACUGAUUCCGGUGUGUAUGCAUGCGUGUGUAUAUGUAUAUGUACAUAUCUAUGCGGUAGAGAUUUCUCCCUAAUUAUCAUAGGUUCUCUAGGUAAUCAAUUAUUAGUUAGAACAUGCAUGCCAUAUGGCCGCGCGCAGUCCAGUGCAGAGAGUCUCCCCGGCGGAUACACAUGUAUCCAUGUUAUUUCUGUAUAGCCAUUUAGAGAACGUUCCUGUCCUGAUAUCCUGUCCCGCGAUAUCGAGCGAGGUCUCCAUAGGCCAAAAGGGUCUAGACCCUCUGCUUCCGCUAAAACAGCUAAGGUAAGAGACGGCUGUUACAGUAGGAUGGCAUGCAUAUGGGUUCACAAAACAUACUACAUGGGUGUGCAAGUCCUGCUGGACAUGCUCCAGCGAUAACAUACAUUACAACCGGAUGCGAAAUAAUCUUAUCAGUACAGGUUUUAUUAUUCGUCGCUGCCGUACGCACACAUACAUACAUACAUAUAUAUACGUAAUACGUAUGUAUAUAUAUACAUAUAAAUAUACAUAUAUAUAUAAUACCUUAAAGUCAUAACAUGUGUAAAUCCAUAUAUGUAUGUACAUGUACAUACAGAAAAUGCAUGUAUAUGCAUAGAUCGGCAUAUAGUUAACAACCAAUGAAUCGCAAAGUUAUCAGGAAACAGCCUGCAUGUAUCAAAUCCCAGGCGACUCAUCUUUCAUUAAUUUUGUGACAUGUAUUGCUUAUGUAGGUGGCUGUAUCUGUGCACAUACAUAAUAAGAACUAUUACCACUGAUUCCGGUGUGUAUGCAUGCGUGUGUAUAUGUAUAUGUACAUAUCUAUGCGGUAGAGAUUUCUCCCUAAUUAUCAUAUGCAUAGGUUCUCUAGGUAAUCAAUUAUCCCCAUCAGUAGUCGUUAGCUGGAACAUUAGUUAGAACAUGCAUGGCCGCGCGCAGUCCAGUGCAGAGAGUCUCCCCGGCGGAUACACAUGUAUCCAUGUUAUUUCUGUAUAGCCAUUUAGAGAACGUUCCUGUCCUGAUAUCCUGUCCCGCGAUAUCGAGCGNNNNNNNNNNNNNNNNNNNNNNNNNNNNNNNNNNNNNNNNNNNNNNNNNNGUAGCAGCUACAUUUGCCUUAGAAUAUCUUUAAGCUAUUAAAGCUUAAUCACAGUAACGGUACGGUCCCGUAUUUACGAACCAUACUCGUUAACUGUACGAACUCACUUUCUGGUACGCUAUCACAACCUAGCGUACGACACCAAGACUCCAGGAAUGGAGAUGGCGGCAGGUGGGCCGCAUUUAAGCCACCCAGGUGAAGUGCUUCGGCCAGACACUUAACGUAUCACUAUACUAGUGUUCAGGGUUCAAGACCUUGCUGUCACCAUUCUCGACGUAUGUCUUCGAAUCCCGACUUCCCUUGUCUCUUCUCACGCCUAACGCUGGGUCGCCAAUCGUGGACGAGACCCUCUGCUUCCGCUAAAACAGCUAAGGUAAGAGACGGCUGUUACAGUAGGAUGGCAUGCAUAUGGGUUCACAAAACAUACUACAUGGGUGUGCAAGUCCUGCUGGACAUGCUCCAGCGAUAACAUACAUUACAACCGGAUGCGAAAUAAUCUUAUCAGUACAGGUUUUAUUAUUCGUCGCUGCCGUACGCACACAUACAUACAUACAUAUAUAUACGUAAUACGUAUGUAUAUAUAUACAUAUAAAUAUACAUAUAUAUAUAAUAUAUAUAUAACCUUAAAGUCAUAACAUGUGUAAAUCCAUAUAUGUAUGUACAUGUACAUACAGAAAAUGCAUGUAUAUGCAUAGAUCGGCAUAUAGUUAACAACCAAUGAAUCGCAAAGUUAUCAGGAAACAGCCUGCAUGUAUCAAAUCCCAGGCGACUCAUCUUUCAUUAAUUUUGUGACAUGUAUUGCUUAUGUAGGUGGCUGUAUCUGUGCACAUACAUAAUAAGAACUAUUACCACUGAUUCCGGUGUGUAUGCAUGCGUGUGUAUAUGUAUAUGUACAUAUCUAUGCGGUAGAGAUUUCUCCCUAAUUAUCAUAUGCAUAGGUUCUCUAGGUAAUCAAUUAUCCCCAUCAGUAGUCGUUAGCUGGAACAUUAGUUAGAACAUGCAUGGCCGCGCGCAGUCCAGUGCAGAGAGUCUCCCCGGCGGAUACACAUGUAUCCAUGUUAUUUCUGUAUAGCCAUUUAGAGAACGUUCCUGUCCUGAUAUCCUGUCCCGCGAUAUCGAGCGAGGUCUCCAUAGGCCAAAAGGGGGAGUUGUGGGAAUCGAACCCACGGNCUCUCGCACCCAAAGCGAGAAUCAUACCACUAGACCAAACUCCCACAUGCCCCAGCGCUGCGCAAUAUAAUAUGUCGUCUGGAACAGCAAGUAGGUCUGGAUCCAACACACAGAAGGGUUCUCCCUUAACUGGUUCUGGUGGCUGUGGAUUGGCUGACCCGAUGGUGCUGAACGGCGUGGUUUGGACGAUUUUGGCGAGAAUUGCACCUCUGCCUCGGGCCUUACGUAUACACAGCAGGAAGAGCAAACAGCCAAGCCUAACGGUGGCCNNNNNNNNNNNNNNNNNNNNNNNNNNNNNNNNNNNNNNNNNNNNNNNNNNACAUCGAUCUGAUGAUGCAUCGAUGCGAGCAUCGAUGCUCGCUCAGCAGCAGCUGUAGCUGCAGCGAGCCACACAUUGAUAAUCAACUGCAGCUGAUGAGUGGGUAGGUGUAGCAAGCUACAUUUGCCUUAGAAUAUCUNUAAGCUAUUAAAGCUUAAUCACAGUAACGGUACGGUCCCGUAUUUACGAACCAUACUCGUUAACUGUACGAACUCACUUUCUGGUACGCUAUCACAACCUAGCGUACGACACCAAGACUCCAGGAAUGGAGAUGGCGGCAGGUGGGCCGCAUUUAAGCCACCCAGGUGAAGUGCUUCGGCCAGACACUUAACGUAUCACUAUACUAGUGUUCAGGGUUCAAGACCUUGCUGUCACCGUUCUCGACGUAUGUCUUCGAAUCCCGACUUCCCUUGUCUCUUCUCACGCCUAACGCUGGGUCGCCAAUCGUGGACGAGACCCUCUGCUUCCGCUAAAACAGCUAAGGUAAGAGACGGCUGUUACAGUAGGAUGGCAUGCAUAUGGGUUCACAAAACAUACUACAUGGGUGUGCAAGUCCUGCUGGACAUGCUCCAGCGAUAACAUACAUUACAACCGGAUGCGAAAUAAUCUUAUCAGUACAGGUUUUAUUAUUCGUCGCUGCCGUACGCACACAUACAUACAUACAUAUAUAUACGUAAUACGUAUGUAUAUAUAUACAUAUAAAUAUACAUAUAUAUAUAAUACCUUAAAGUCAUAACAUGUGUAAAUCCAUAUAUGUAUGUACAUGUACAUACAGAAAAUGCAUGUAUAUGCAUAGAUCGGCAUAUAGUUAACAACCAAUGAAUCGCAAAGUUAUCAGGAAACAGCCUGCAUGUAUCAAAUCCCAGGCGACUCAUCUUUCAUUAAUUUUGUGACAUGUAUUGCUUAUGUAGGUGGCUGUAUCUGUGCACAUACAUAAUAAGAACUAUUACCACUGAUUCCGG
rnacentral:lncRNA from 1 species